GUCAAAAUGGAGUGGAGUUUUCCCUCCUCGACCUAUAAUCUGGGAACUAGAAUCCAGCAAAAGUCCAUUAAGAUCUUACAAACAAGCAGAUUUGGUGCUCUCCAGUGCUGCCAUGGCACAAAGGUGUAAAUCCCAGGCAUGGAUCCUUAUGGAGUCUCAUAAUUUUGCCUUCUGCCCUACCAGUCCCAGUGAGCACCAGCUCCCACUGAUUAUGUCCACAACCCUCUCUCAAAAUUCCAAAUGUGCCGAAAAGAAAAGAAAAGGUUGGUGGCCACAGUCAUUAGGAGGAUCAAAACUGUUUUACGUCCCUUUUGGAUCACACCAGUGAGUAAGAAUGCUUCAGUUUACAGUAUAUCUAAUAAAACACCUUGGCUGAUGCUCUUAAGUAGCUUCCUCUAAAGAAUGUUGCAAGAACUGUGAAAACUGAGGUCUUUUCUAGACUACUGCAUUUUCGUCUUGUUUGGCCAUUGCUGCUCUACAAUUCGCUGGAAGCAAACUUACAGCUAUGGUCCCUCAUGGUACUUAGUAUAUUGCAAUAUCCCCAUUGAAAUAGUACACUGUCUAGCCUCACACAGAAAUUGGGGAGGGAGUUUCCCCUUGAAACCAGCCAAAUUAUUUUGGCCUCACCUAUCUCAAAUCAGCCCCCCCCAUUUUAGGUGGUCCUAAAAUGGUCUCCCAGAUCAAGCAAAACUGUGAUUUUGGAGGGGGCCACAACAGCUCUAAAUAAAACUUAGAAGGAGAAGGAACAAAUGUCGGGAGAAGAAAAACAAGAAAUGCCACAGAUAACAGUCUGCCUAGAAUUCAUUUGCAUCAAAGAUAAGAGGCUAUCUGGAUCUGGAAAAGGUGAAGACCUGAGAGGAUCAUGGGAAGUCCAGAGGCAGGAAAAGAAGUUGGAAAAAGAACCAAAUGCAUCAACAGCAAAGGACAGAUAGACCUGAGGUAUCAAAUAUGAAAGGCCACCACCUCUCAAAAGAUGCUGACAGAGGAUGUCCCAAACAUCCUUACCAGCACAUAGUUCAGCUCCCAAGACAUAAAUGAUAUCAGAAGGCUUCCCUCCUAAACAGAAACUCCCUUUAAAGUGCUGUAAAUAAAAGCCAAAUAAAAUGAA